rnacentral:rRNA from 1 species
UACGUAGGGUGCAAGCGUUAAUCGGAAUUACUGGGCGUAAAGCGUGCGCAGGCGGUCUUGUAAGUCUGUUGUGAAAUCCCCGGGCUCAACCUGGGAAUUGCGAUGGAGACUGCAAGGCUAGAAUCUGGCAGAGGGGGGUAGAAUUCCACGUGUAGCAGUGAAAUGCGUAGAGAUGUGGAGGAACACCGAUGGCGAAGGCAGCCCCCUGGGUCAAGAUUGACGCUCAUGCACGAAAGCGUGGGGAGCAAACAGG